rnacentral:piRNA from 1 species
UGUCUCUAUGGACAAUGUCAUGGUAGUGCUGU